rnacentral:rRNA from 1 species
UAGGGAAUCUUCCGCAAUGGGCGAAAGCCUGACGGAGCAACGCCGCGUGAGUGAUGAAGGUCUUCGGAUCGUAAAACUCUGUUAUUAGGGAAGAACAAAUGUGUAAGUAACUAUGCACGUCUUGACGGUACCUAAUCAGAAAGCCACGGCUAACUACGUGCCAGCAGCCGCGGUAAUACGUAGGUGGCAAGCGUUAUCCGGAAUUAUUGGGCGUAAAGCGCGCGUAGGCGGUUUUUUAAGUCUGAUGUGAAAGCCCACGGCUCAACCGUGGAGGGUCAUUGGAAACUGGAAAACUUGAGGGCAGAAGAGGAAAGUGGAAUUCCAUGUGGAGCGGUGAAAUGCGCAGAGAUAUGGAGGAACACCAGUGGCGAAGGCGACUUUCUGGUCUGUAACUGACGCUGAUGUGCGAAAGCGUGGGGAUCAAACAGG